rnacentral:lncRNA from 1 species
UUUUGUUUUGUUUUAAAAAAUGUGGUAAAAUAGACACCUUUUAAUUGGACCACAUUUUGUCUAUCUCGACGUAGGCCUCAGUGUCAUCAAGGAGACUCUGCUUGACAUGCAGUCAAGGCCAUGAUCCAUCUUCAGAGCUUCUCUUUCUUCCCCAAGGCUGGCGCUGAGAUGGGCAGGUGCUGCAGCAGCCCCGCUGGAAGCGAUGCAGCAUCCAGGACGACGGAGGAAGGGGCGGAGAGGGACCUCUGCUUUCCAGGCUGCCUUUUAUACUGCCUCUGGUCACCUGACAUGGAACGUACCCUAACCUAAUCAGUUACCUGUACCUUAAUUGCAAUUAACUUAAUCCAAUUACAUGACCUGGAAAGGUCUAUCUGCACAGCCCACUCUAAGAUCCUGUCCACUGCUGACAGACAUUCUAAAACCUACUUGUACAGCUGCAAGCUUUGAACAAUAGAUGUUCCCCGUCAGACAUGUAACACUGGUGCCUGUAUCCCUGUCUUCUUUUCCAUCUUUUUUGUUGUUUUGUUUUGUUUCGUUUUAAAAAAUGUGGUAAAAUAGACACCUUUUAAUUGGACCACAUUUUGUCUCUCUCGACGUAGGCCUCAGUGUCAUCAAGGAGACUCUCCUUGACAUGCAGUCACGGCCAUGAUCCAUCUUCAGAGCUUCUCUUUCUUCCCCAAGCUCGUCUUGCGACUCCCGGACGCCUGUGAGGCUGUAAUUCCCUGGGUCCCAUUGCCAUGUCUCUGGAUUUGCGAAGAUCCACCGCACCUUCUGUGGAACUCCCGUGUCGGUGAACUUUUGUGCCACGGCCCCUAAUUCUGCCCAUGGUCAUCCGCACCUGCACGACUUAGGGUCCAUGUUCCUUGGACGGGAAGAGACAGGCAGGAGUCGGAAUGAUGAACCAGCACACUGGGGCGUUUUCUCAUGUAGCCCAAGUGACCCCAUGGUCUUCUCGAGCUUUGGAACCAGUCGCGUCCCCUUUGACACUGCACCCGGCUCCCAGUCUCUCAAUCUUGUUGGCCCUCCGGCGAUCUCCCGUUGGAUGAAUUGCUCCUGCUGAAACUCCAGUCCCCUUUGAUUUGCGCUUCAUUAAUUAUUCAUGAUUCAGGUUGGAAGGCCUGCUGACGACCCCCUGUGGCCGUUCUCUGAGCUUUCCUGUCACAUCGUUUCCUUCCACGCUCUUUGGUUCCUUAUGGUCCUGCUCCCUCUGCUGU